AGAGUUUGAUCAUGGCUCAGGAUGAACGCUAGCUACAGGCUUAACACAUGCAAGUCGAGGGGAAACGGACAUCGAAAGACUUGCUUUUGUAUGGGCGUCGACCGGCGCACGGGUGAGUAACGCGUAUCCAACCUGCCCACCACUUGGGGAUAACCUUGCGAAAGUAAGACUAAUGCCCAAUGACGUCUCUAGAAGACAUCUGAAAGAGAUUAAAGAUUUAUCGGUGAUGGAUGGGGAUGCGUCUGAUUAGCUUGUUGGCGGGGUAACGGCCGACCAAGGCGACGAUCAGUAGGGGUUCUGAGAGGAAGGUCCCCACAUUGGAACUGAGACACGGUCCAAACUCCUACGGGAGGCA
rnacentral:rRNA from 1 species